AAAAAGACAAACCCUAGGUUUCCGUGCCAACGUUUGACAGUUCAUCAUAUAUGAAAUUUUUUUAUAAUUAGUAUUUUCAUUGUUGUUAGAUGAUAAAACAUGAUUAAUACUUUAUGCGUGACUUAUCUUUUUAAUUUUUUUUCAUAAUUUUUUCAAAUAAGACGGACGGUCAAAUGUUAGUUACAGAAACCAGGGUUUAUCUUUUU
rfam:Oryza barthii chromosome 5, whole genome shotgun sequence.